GGUGAGAUGAUCUCUCUGAGCUGCUAGCUUUCUUACAGAGAUCUCCUCUUUGGUGGUUGAAGUGGCUUCUUUUUCAAAUCUCACAGACAUUUUAUGGAAUCAAGAAGAACUGGAGGAAGAGAGAAGAGGAUGAGAAAGGAGGCUCGGCUUAAAGAAGAAUUGAUCUUUUAAUACUUGGGCAUCCAACUAUUGGAGCCUUU
rnacentral:lncRNA from 1 species